rnacentral:lncRNA from 1 species
AAAAGAAGAGUAAACAAUUUAGGUGGUAUGAAAAGAUAAUCACUACAAUGGGCUGAAGAUCAUCCACUAGUACAGUAGCAUUUCCUAGUUCGAUUAACAAGUAAUAAUGAGACAAGCCUUCCCCAAAUGAUGACAAAAAAGAAAGAUAUUUAAAAUUUAAUUACAAUUGAUAAUUGAGAAGAAAGAAUAAUCUAAAUGGGAAGGCCAAAAAAAUUUUGACAC